rnacentral:rRNA from 1 species
CAGAGGUCUCAAGCGUUGUUCGGAUUCAUUGGGCGUAAAGGGUGCGUAGGUGGCGCUGUAAGUCGGGUGUGAAAUUUCGGAGCUUAACUCCGAAACUGCAUUCGAUACUGCGGUGCUUGAGGACUGGAGAGGAGACUGGAAUUCAUGGUGUAGCAGUGAAAUGCGUAGAGAUCAUGAGGAAGACCAGUGGCGAAGGCGGGUCUCUGGACAGUUCCUGACACUGAGGCACGAAGGCCAGGGGAGCAAACGGGAUUAGAUACCCCGGUAGUCCUGGCAGUAAACGGUGCACGUUUGGUGUGGGAGGAUUCGACCCCUUCGCGCCGGAGCUAACGCGUUAAACGUGACCGCCUGGGGAGUACGGUCGCAAGAUUA